UACGUAGGGCGCAAGCGUUAUCCGGAAUUAUUGGGCGUAAAGAGCUCGUAGGCGGUUUGUCGCGUCUGCUGUGAAAACCCGCAGCUCAACUGUGGGCUUGCAGCUGAUACGGGCAGGCUUGAGUUCGGUAGGGGAGACUGGAAUUCCUGGUGUAGCGGUGAAAUGCGCAGAUAUCUGGAGGAACACCGGUGGCGAAGGCGGCAUCCUGGACCGGCAUUGACGCUGAGGCGCGAAAGCCAGGGGAGCAAACGGG
rnacentral:rRNA from 1 species